rnacentral:rRNA from 1 species
GAUGAACGCUGGCGGCGUGCCUAAUACAUGCAAGUCGAGCGAACAGAUGAGGAGCUUGCUCCUCUGACGUUAGCGGCGGACGGGUGAGUAACACGUGGAUAACCUACCUAUAAGACUGGGAUAACUUCGGGAAACCGGAUCUAAUACCGGAUAAUAUAUUGAACCGCAUGGUUCAAUAGUGAAAGACGGUUUUGCUGUCACUUAUAGAUGGAUCCGCGCCGCAUUAGCUAGUUGGUAAGGUAACGGCUUACCAAGGCAACGAUGCGUAGCCGACCUGAGAGGGUGAGCGGCCACACUGGAACUGAGACACGGUCCAGACUCCUACGGGAGGCAGCAGUAGGGAAUCUUCCGCAAUGGGCGAAAGCCUGACGGAGCAACGCCGCGUGAGUGAUGAAGGUCUUCGGAUCGUAAAACUCUGUUAUUAGGGAAGAACAAAUGUGUAAGUAACUAUGCACGUCUUGACGGUACCUAAUCAGAAAGCAACGGCUAACUACGUG